CGGGAAGCAGCAGUAGGGAAUCUUCCACAAUGGACGAAAGUCUGAUGGAGCAAUGCCAUGUGAACGAUGAAGGUCAUAAAGAUCGUAAAGUUCUUUUAGGGGGGAAAACUCUGAUGGUACCUCCUGAAUAAGUGACAGCAAACUAUGUGCCAGCAGCUGCGGUAAUACAUAGGUCGCGAGCGUUAUUCGGAUUUAUUGGGCGUAAAGCAAGCGCAGGCGGAUUGAUAAGUUCUGUAUUAAAAGCAGCUGCUCAACAGUUGUUUGUACCGAAUACUGUCAGUCUAGAAUUUGGUAGGAAGUUUUGGAAUUAAACAUGGAGCGGUGGAAUGUGUAGAUAUGUUUAAGAACACCAGAGGCGAAGGCGAAAACUUAGGCCAUAAUUGACGCUUAGGCUUGAAAGUGUGGGUAGCAAAUGGGAUUAGAUACCCCAGUAGUCCACACCGUAAACGAUGGGUAUUAGAUGUUGGGACUUGUGUCUCAGUGUCGUAGCUUACGUGUUAAAUACCCCGCCUGGGUAGUACAUAUGCAAAUAUGAAACUCAAAGGAAUUGACGGGGACCUGAACAAGUGGUGGAACAUGUUGCUUAAUUCGAUACUACACGAAAAACCUUACCAAGGUUUGACAUCCCCAGCGAAGGUAUAGAAAUAUAUUGGAGGCUAUCUGGGUGACAGGUGGUGCAUGGUUGUCGUCAGCUCGUGUCAUGAGAUGUUUGGUUAAGUCCCGCAACGAGCGCAACCCUACUUCUUAGUUGUUUGUCUAAGUUGACUGAAUCGUAAGAUAUAGGAAGGUUGGGAUCACGUUAAAUCAUCAUGCCCCUUAUGCCUUGGGCUGCAAACGUGUUACAAUGGUGAGUACAAUGUGCAGCAAACUAGCGAUAGCGAGCAAAUCACUAAAACUCAUCUCAGUCCGGAUAAAAGGCUGCAAUUCGCCUUUU
rnacentral:rRNA from 1 species